UACGUAGGUGACCAGCGUUGUCCGGAUUUACUGGGCGUAAAGGGCUCGUAGGCGGCCAACUAAGUCCGACGUGAAAUCCCCAGGCUUAACCUGGGAACUGCGUCGGAUACUGGAUGGCUUGAAUCCGGGGGAGGGAUGCGGAAUUCCAGGUGUAGCGGUGAAAUGCGUAGAUAUCUGGAGGAACACCGGUGGCGAAGGCGGCAUCCUGGACCGGCAUUGACGCUGAGGAGCGAAAGCCAGGGGAGCAAACGGG
rnacentral:rRNA from 1 species